GAUAUUGGGACCCCGGCCCUGGAAACCAGCCCUCGAGUGGCUCUCCCUCCUCUGAGAACAAGAUAAUUUAUCUCCCACUUUGAAUCUGUGGUCCCACCCCUCCCGUCUCCCGUCUAGACUUCCGAGCGCUGGCCUUCGCCGCCCCCACCCUGCUCCCCCUCCCUCAGCCCCCAAGUGUCACUUUGUCCUUCACAACUAAGAUGUGGACUUGUGAUUCGUCCAGCUGACGGAGACGGGGGUCGGGGGACACCCUGAAACGGCAAAGCGUCCUUCUGCCGUCACUCCUCACCCCCCAACCCGGGACGCUCCCGAGUCCGGAGACAGGGGCAGCACCCCCUCUUUGCUGCCUUCCAGGGAGAGCAGCGGGAGAAAGAAAGAGCGAGGCGAGAGGAAUUCCUGAAUGGACGGACCGAUGCUACGUCACCGUCACCGGGCCGCACCCCCGCGCCACGGGAGGCUGGGAGCCUCGAGAGAGGCAGUCGGGCGGGCGGCAGGGGCCACCGAGCCGCCUCUCCUCCUCCCAGAAGCGCCGGGGCUGGGCGUCCGGAAGCAGCGGCCUCGGUCCGGGUCCGGUGUCACCGUCAUCGUGGGCGACCACCUUGGCUUUUAGGGGUCUCCAAAGGAGGACGGGAGGCCUGAGGAAGCUGGCGGGUGGAGGGCUUACACCCUGCGGAACAAGGAUCUCCGGGGAGAGGGGACGGAGGCCGGGAGGGACGUGGGGCUUCUCACCUGGGGCGGGUGGGUGCUCGCCACCCUCCCGCCCGCUUUCCUCCAUUCCUGGGCCAGAGCCGCGUCCAGCACCACGGACAGCUCCCGGGCGAUCCCAAGAGAGUGGAAGAGUCAUGCCCAAGGUCACUCAGCUGGGUGGUGGAAAUGCCAAGAGGCAGCCUCCUCAAGUCCAGCCCGGCCCUGCCCACUGUGUCUGAUGUGUCCUGUAGGAACCUCCCUGCCUGACUCGCCCUGGCGGUCUGGCUUCCCUCGUCUCGGCCCUUGUGAAGCUACACCCUGGAGACCACCCACGGCCCCGCCAAGGGCCCGCCGCCCACCCCCACCUCAGGCCAGGAGACCUCUGCAGCGCAGCCCCCGCUGGCCCCGGUCCUGCCUCCUCCUGUUACAUCCUCGCUCAUGCGUCCUGGGUUCUGGUCAUUCAGUCUUCCAGGUCUUCAUUUGUGAGUGCUCCCCAGGGCUCCACGGUCCUGCUACGUUUAUCGCGUCAGCCAUCGUGGGCUCUAGACUUCUAGAAACCUGCCCGCUUCAUAGGUUCUGGCCUCUCUGAACUCCAGAUCUGUCCCCUCACUGCUCUGUGUGUGCUCCUGCCCUUAGCUCCUGGGGCAGAGGCUGGAGAGGUGCCCCUGCUUGGGUUCCACCCAGGCCUCGACCAGUGCUCGAGGGCUGGGAGCACUCCUGUGCUUUUGGCUUCCCUGGUGGCGAAGAAGCCAGCCUCCCUCCCAAACCGCAAGGUGGCCACUCCCCAGACGCGGUCCAGGGUCCCGGUGCUCGCUGGCUCAGCAUGUGCUCCCGCCUCCCCCCUCCACCUGCGGUGUCACCAAACUGCUAGGCCCUCGGGUCCCUCCCCCUCCACAUCACCCACGUGAGCACCAUCCCUUCCUCCCAGGCAGCGCCUCUCGCACCCACGCCUUCCUUUCGCUUGGCCCCUGCCUCCGUGGCUCAUUCCGUCAACAGGCGUGUGCCGAGUGCCGCUGGGUGAAGGCGGAGGUGGGGUUCGGGGCCCGCUCUGCGGAACCAGCAGUCUGGCAGGGAGGGCGGACAGGCACCACGGGACACCGGGAGGACCGUUGUCCUGAAGACCUGAGCCAGGCUCCGGGGAGCAUGGGGCCGGGGCAGGCAGGGAGGACCUCCUGGAGGGGCCGAGGGGCAAGUGGUGACAGGUGAGCAGGAGGUCGUCAAGUCCAAGGUGUGAGGGAGCGGGCGGUGGUGAGGGGCCAGCUGAUGUGAGGGGAGGGAGGAAAGAGCAGGCUGGGCUGGGGACGGAGCUGUCGUCACAGGGACUCUGGGCUGGGAGGAGAUGGGGCACGGAGGCUGAAGUGGGUUACCGAGGGAGCCUCAUGUGCCCCAGCAGGGGGGCUGGACUUGCAGGGUGCUUAGCUGACAGCCUCAGAGAUGCCGUGUAUGGGGGGGGGGGGGGUUGGACGGCGAGCAGCACACAGCCCCUCCCAGGAGGGACAAGGACACGGCAUCCAGCUGCCUGCUUAGCCCAGUGCCCAGCCGGACGUUUCAUUGGCUCCUGCUUAGUUCUGCAAAUGAGGGAGCAGAGGCCUGGGAGCCCCCCAGGAAGAGUCUCUGCCCCUCCCCCAGACUCACCCCACCGUCCACAUGCGUGCCCCCGCUUACACAGGGGGUAGGCCAGUGGGGGCUUCCUGGGAGAAGCACGGGUGCCCCGGGGGCAGCACAGGAGAUGGGCCGCUGGGGACUGAAGAGCAGAGAGGGGGCUCGGCCCUGGAAAGUCCCUGGGAGACGGGGUGCGGGAAGGGGUGCGGGCUAUCAGGCGGGGAGAUCCUUCCUGGAGAAGGUGGCGGAAGGCUGGAGAGGCAUCUGAGGAGCUGCUGUGGCCACCGGGGGGAGGGGGAGAGGGAAGUGGGGGGGCCGGCCCCCGCCCCUCCCCCAGGCCCAGCCUUUGCACAAAGGCUUCUCUGUGAGUGGCCACGGAAGUGGCCUUGUCAGGUGAGGGGGCUUAGCUCCCGGGGCCAAGGGGUGGGUGGAAGGGGAUUGGAGGAGGGGAGGGCUGAGGGGUAGCCUCAGGCUUUAACCAGAUCUGGGAAGGAAAUGGAGAAGCUGACACCUAGCCAGAGCCUCACAGUGAGGCCAGUGAGGCCCUGUCCGAACCUUCCCAGGACAGGCUCCUCUCCACGGUCCUGUCAGGCCCCGCGGGCCCCCAGCAGCAGGGUCCUGCUGCCCGCCUCCUUCCUUGCUGUAACUCCCUCCACCCCGGCCCCUCUAGCCUCCCUUCCUGCCCUUUCACGGGGCUCCCCAGCUCCUGCAUGGGGCUCCCUCGCUCGCUCGGGGAGGGCUGUGUUGGGAAGGUAGAAAGAAGCCAGGGCCCAAAAAGAGGCGCGAGGCUGCCUUAGACUCCACACCCAGUCUUGUCCUCCCCCGGGAAGGUGUCUCUCGUUGCCUGACCUGAGUGCCGCCUGCUGUCAACCAGCGUGUGGAUAGACCCCUGCCCCACCCCCAACGCCUUGUUGCGCACACUGUUCCUUGUAAUAAGUGUGUGGCUUUGGGCCCCCGGAGCAGCAGAAUGGCAGCGGGCACCUCGUCGGGCUGCAGGCUGCUCACAGGUUGGAUAGCAGGGCUCCAUCCACAGGACGGACAACAGAAGGAGGUUUUGGUUGUCGACUCUGAAUCAGACAGGCCGGUCAGGAGACCCUGGCUUCCCUCCCUUGCUAGCUAGGUGACCUUAGGCAAGUCACUUACUGUCUUUGGACCCUAACUUCCUUCCACGGUUACUCCGAGGGAUCAGCUGGGUCGGUGUGAAUGAGGCCCGCAUCUCGUCCUUCUCCAGAGGGAGCGCUAGCCGGACAUCGUGACGCUCCAGCGAAUGAGCCCAACGUGGUCCCUCCAAGCCCUGCCGCCCAGCCCAGGACUCUCUCAAGUCCCCGAUGAUCUUAUGCUCCUCAGCAUUGUCAGGAGAAACACCACGAUCUUCCUUAUUCUGUCUUGCAAGGUCCUUGCCAGUGUCUAACUGAGACCUGUUCUGCUGAAGUACCAGUUCUCUGACCCUGGGCUUGACCUGGCUAAUUUGAGAGGUGUCGAGGCUCCUCGGUCUCCCCCACCCCAGGAAGGAAGGGGUGACCUCGAUUCCACACCCGCUUGCUCACGCGAGCAAGCCGUCUUCUCUGUCAACCUGCUGCCAGGCCUGGGCUUCUGUCCCCCACUUGGCAAAGCUGCAGUCAGGGCCCCACGAAGGAUGUGUGGGUCACCCCGCGUCACGGGGCUGACCGAAAAGAAGGACUUAUUGCACCCAGCUGGCAUGGGUUCCCUCUGAGAAGCCCUCCUGGAUUGAUCGAAGUGGCAAGACCCCAGCUCCAUCCUGGGCUGCCCGUUACACCCGGAGCCACCCGGGAGAGGACUUCGUCCCACCCUUGCUCCCGCGGCCACCGCUGUCCACCCCGGUCCAUCCCAGUUCCUGUGGCGUCUGAGCUGAGAGUCCUCUGAGAUGGCGGUCCCGUCUCAGUUCUAAUAAAGACUCCUGAAUGUUGAACCA